GAUGAACGCUGGCGGCGCGCCUAAUACAUGCAAGUCGAACGCUGGAAAUCUAGCUUGCUAGAUUGAAGGAGUGGCGAACGGGUGAGUAAUACAUAAGCAACCUACCCACGAAGACUGGGAUAAUCUCUGGAAACGGGGACUAAUACCGGAUAGGUAAUCGGAAGGCAUCUUCUGAUUAUUAAAGGUUAAAAACACUGGUGGAUGGGCUUAUGGCGCAUUAGUUAGUUGGUGAGGUAACGGCCCACCAAGACGAUGAUGCGUAGCCGGCCUGAGAGGGUGAACGGCCACAUUGGGACUGAGACACGGCCCAGACUCCUACGGGAGGCAGCAGUAGGGAAUUUUCGGCAAUGGGGGAAACCCUGACCGAGCAACGCCGCGUGAGUGAUGACGGCCUUCGGGUUGUAAAGCUCUGUUGUAAGGGAAGAACGGUAGAUAGAGAAUAUCUAAAUGACGGUACCUUACCAGAAAGCCACGGCUAACUACGUG
rnacentral:rRNA from 1 species